rnacentral:tRNA from 2 species
GGCUCUGUAGUGAAGUUCAUGGUGAGUUGCAAGCUCAUUGAUGUGCACUGACAAUGCACCGGAGUCU